AAAACGUUUUUUCACCAGAGUGCACAAGCAGUGCCAAUUCUCAAAGAAUUUUUUGAAAACAUUGAAGGUUGUAUCCAAGUAGUUUUAUGGUGUUGGGAACCAAGUUACAGGUGUUUUAUUUAAAUGUAUCUAGGGCAAUAUAUAAACCCCACAAGGCAGGAAGACCAAAUGUAGGUUGUAGCUGUAAGCCCACCUGUGGCGGAACCAACCUCGCCACUAUGCACUGGAGAAGCCUGGUUCCCCGCCUGCUGCCUAUAGAAUAUUUUCCCCUGCGAAGACACGAAAGCCGGGUCAUUCGGUGCUUGCCCUGUUUGAGCGGUGAUACCCCAGAUAGCUAUGCCAUGGAGCC